rnacentral:rRNA from 1 species
UACGUAGGUGGCAAGCGUUGUCCGGAUUUACUGGGCGUAAAGAGCGCGCAGGCGGUCGGCCAAGUCGAGUGUGAAAGCCCCCGGCUCAACUGGGGAGGGUCAUUCGAUACUGGUCGACUCGAAGGCAGGAGAGGGAAGCGGAAUUCCCGGUGUAGUGGUGAAAUGCGUGAGAUAUCGGGAGGAACACCAGUGGCGAAGGCGGCUUCCUGGCCUGUUCUUGACGCUGAGGCGGCGAAA